UACGGAGGGAGCUAGCGUUGUUCGGAAUUACUGGGCGUAAAGCGCGCGCAGGCGGUCCUUUAAGUCUGAUGUGAAAGCCCACGGCUCAACCGUGGAGGGUCAUUGGAAACUGGGGGACUUGAGUGCAGAAGAGGAAAGCGGAAUUCCACGUGUAGCGGUGAAAUGCGUAGAGAUGUGGAGGAACACCAGUGGCGAAGGCGGCUUUCUGGUCUGUAACUGACGCUGAGGCGCGAAAAGCGUGGGGAGCAAACAGG
rnacentral:rRNA from 1 species